rnacentral:rRNA from 1 species
UACGUAGGGGGCAAGCGUUGUCCGGAUUUAUUGGGCGUAAAGAGCGUGUAGGCGGCUUCACAAGUCCGCUGUGAAAACUCGAGGCUCAACCUCGAGCUGUCGGUGGAAACUGUGAGGCUAGAGUCCGGAAGAGGAGAGUGGAAUUCCCGGUGUAGCGGUGAAAUGCGCAGAUAUCGGGAAGAACACCCGUGGCGAAGGCGGCUCUCUGGGACGGUACUGACGCUCAGACGCGAAAGCGUGGGGAGCGAACAGG